rnacentral:rRNA from 1 species
UACGUAUGGUGCAAGCGUUAUCCGGAUUUACUGGGUGUAAAGGGAGCGUAGACGGCUGUGUAAGUCUGAAGUGAAAGCCCGGGGCUCAACCCCGGGACUGCUUUGGAAACUAUGUAGCUAGAGUGUCGGAGAGGUAAGUGGAAUUCCCAGUGUAGCGGUGAAAUGCGUAGAUAUUGGGAGGAACACCAGUGGCGAAGGCGGCUUACUGGACGAUGACUGACGUUGAGGCUCGAAAGCGUGGGGAGCAAACAGG